rnacentral:rRNA from 1 species
AGAGUUUGAUCAUGGCUCAGAUUGAACGCUGGCGGCAGGCCUAACACAUGCAAGUCGAGCGGUAGAGAGAAGCUUGCUUCUCUUGAGAGCGGCGGACGGGUGAGUAAUGCCUAGGAAUCUGCCUGGUAGUGGGGGAUAACGCUCGGAAACGGACGCUAAUACCGCAUACGUCCUACGGGAGAAAGCAGGGGACCUUCGGGCCUUGCGCUAUCAGAUGAGCCUAGGUCGGAUUAGCUAGUUGGUGAGGUAAUGGCUCACCAAGGCGACGAUCCGUAACUGGUCUGAGAGGAUGAUCAGUCACACUGGAACUGAGACACGGUCCAGACUCCUACGGGAGGCAGCAGUGGGGAAUAUUGGACAAUGGGCGAAAGCCUGAUCCAGCCAUGCCGCGUGUGUGAAGAAGGUCUUCGGAUUGUAAAGCACUUUAAGUUGGGAGGAAGGGCAGUUACCUAAUACGUAUCUGUUUUGACGUUACCGACAGAAUAAGCACCGGCUAACUCUGUGCCAGCAGCCGCGGUAAUACAGAGGGUGCAAGCGUUAAUCGGAAUUACUGGGCGUAAAGCGCACGCAGGCGGUUUGUUAAGUCAGAUGUGAAAUCCCCGAGCUUAACUUGGGAACUGCAUUUGAAACUGGCAAGCUAGAGUCUUGUAGAGGGGGGUAGAAUUCCAGGUGUAGCGGUGAAAUGCGUAGAGAUCUGGAGGAAUACCGGUGGCGAAGGCGGCCCCCUGGACAAAGACUGACGCUCAGGUGCGAAAGCGUGGGGAGCAAACAGGAUUAGAUACCCUGGUAGUCCACGCUGUAAACGAUGUCGACUUGGAGGUUGUGCCCUUGAGGCGUGGCUUCCGGAGCUAACGCGUUAAGUCGA